UACAAGGGCUAAUUGUGGGCGAAGAAUAAAAGGACUCUAUGAAGAUGAUAGAGCAAUAGGUACGCCGAAGUGGGUAUCUGAAUCAGGGACAGCGCAGGGGACACCACGGGAGUUGCCAUUUUCCGUAGGUUCAUCUUGCAGUGCAUCCAGGGAGCACCUUCGGAGAUCCUCGGAAAAUGUAUGCUAUUUCUUGCCGCUAGUCAAGCGACUUCAAAUUGAUUGUUUUGAUUUUGUACGUUUAGGAAUGAAGUAUUCGGUGGCGGUGGUGUCACUCGUUUCUCUUUGCCAUGUUUGGUUUCGGGGGUCAUGACGGUAUCGCUUUUGAGUCCCGUUACUUUACUAUUUUAUCGAACACCUUUUUUUUGGCCGACUGGCUAUGAAUUUGUUGCACAUUAGCACUCGUACGGUCUUAUUGGCUUUGUUCGAAUUAUUGAAACAUAGCUUGAGAGAACCUGAAUUUGCGAAAAUCAUCUCGCGUAAUGAUUUAAUAGACAAAAUAUUUGAGUCACUUAAUGGCACAAUUGUUUUUUUUUUUUAACUAGUAAUUGAAUGUAUUGUAGGAGGAUUCCUUUUUGUGACGAAUUACGUUGGAAGUGUCGUUUUGAAGGUGUAUACGCAAUUUUCCUUGUAAAUUUGCAGUUUUGUUGCGUUUAAUUAAUCCUAUAAGCCUUCUUUACAUAUACAUUUGGACCUUUAGUGCAUUUUACGAAUUGUUUGCCAAAUUGUGAACUUUUUUUUGUCUUUAACUAAACAAUCUUCCUGUGCUAGGCCAGUUAAGCUUUUUUGUUUUAUUUUGUUUAGUUUUCGUUUUUCAAACAUCCAGAUUUGCAUACUGUCAUGCUUCUGGGCGGGGCUUCACACUUCAUUUUUAAACUGUGUUUACUUGGGUGGGAUGGUACUGUCAGUCAUCACAUGCCAAUUUCAAACUGUUUUGUUGUUGUACAAAUAGUGGACCUGCAAAUUUACAAUGGUAUUUCUGAACACGUGAACGUUUAAAGCUUUUGUACAUACAGCUUUCAUUUUAAAGGGCUUGGCCUAAUCUGAGAAACACCUUUCUUUAUCCAACAGAAACACUACAACCAGUCAUUUCGUUCCCAUUAAGUACCACAAAACAUCAGAAUACGUUGUACAGAUGGUAAAAAUAGCAUUGAUAUCCUGUUCUGCUGGUGUUCAAGGGAAUUUUUGGUCAUUCUCAACAAUUUGUGAUGAAGUUUGAUAUGUUUUUCCUUCCUGGGUUAAUGCACUGAACCUACUCUGCAGUAAUGGAUCGAACUCCACUCAUGUGACGUAUCUGUUCCUCCAAACUUGUUCCUGGUACUCUGAGAGAUGCAGACACUAAUGAAUAGAAAUGACGCUUUCGCUUGAGGUCUACAUUGACGUGAUGGAUGCGUACAAUAUGAAGCUAUCUUUACCUUUUUUUUUUCUUUGUUUUUCUGAUGUUGAUGCAUUAUCUGAACACUUGUAUGUAGGACACUUUAAUAUAAUACAUUUGUUUUUGAUAAAACAGCUAAAAUAAACUUUUGUGUAGUGGUGUAUAAAAUCAAAGUAUUGUAUUACUUUGUAAUGUAUUUCGUGUUCGGUUGGUUGCUAAUUUUUUUUUUUUUUUAAAGCAUACCAAAUGUAAAUGAUGUACUAUAUUGAGUGUGCCAAUCUCUUUUAUUUGUAGAGCCAGACUCUUUACAAGUGCCAAUGUUGUGGAAAUCAUUUAAAAAGGACUUGUGUAUUUUACGGUCCGGUUUUUAAAAACAAAUAAACAUUAAGUAUGUGAUUAAGGUAAAUGCGCAAUAGGAAAAGGACAAUUUUAUUCUGUAUUUAAGAUUAAAGAUGACAAACUGCUGUUUUUAAAAGAAAUGACAUUCUAAUUGCAUGUGUUUGUUUUUGGUGGAAAGGGCCGGGUAAAGGAGAAACCGUAUUAACACGAAACCCUGCUGACAAGGGGCUUAAUUAUUGCUCAUUUACAGUAUUUUAGACAUAUUUCUCUUUUUGUAUGUUUCAUUUCAACCACUUUAGCCUGAACCUCAUUCAUACAUGAAAAUUACUUUCAUAGCUUUCUCCUUUAAAGAAAAAAAAUCCAUUUUAAAUUGUAAUAAAUUUAGUUCCUAUAUGUUUGCAUCUGUGUUGCGCUUUUAUUUAUGCCUUUUAUUACAAGAAAGAUGAAUAAGGUAGAUGGUCCUUCUGGUGAAACAUCGUCUACAUUAAGAGUCCUGGUAGUCAUAAUAAUACAUGACAAAAUGAUUCACACACAGUUAUCUUGUAUAAAUAAAAUGU
ensembl:lncRNA